AACGCACAUUGCGCCCGCCAGCAUUCUGGCGGGCAUGCCUGUUCGAGCGUCAUUUCGACCCUCAAGCCCUGCGGCUUGGUGUUGGGGCCCCCUACGGCGCUCGCCGUAGGCCCCGAAAUACAGUGGCGGACCCGACGGGACCCCGAGCGUAGUAGCAUUUGUUCUCGCUUAGGGCGUCGCGGCGGGCACCGGCCGUAAAACCCACAGGCGCCUCCGGGCCCUGUAACCCACCAAGGUUGACCUCGGAUCAGGUAGGAAUACCCGCUGAACUUAA
rnacentral:misc_RNA from 1 species